rnacentral:siRNA from 1 species
UAAAAAUAUAACUACUUGCUCCC